CCAGAAAAGUGCAAAGGAGGAGAAGCAAAACAGGUUUCUUGGAAACAAAACUGCUUCCAAUAAAGAACAGCCUGAUGCGAUAACAGUGAAGUAAUCAAAACCAGACAGCUCACAUUUCCCUGGAAGCAGUGAGCCAAACAGCAACUGGAUUUUGACUGUUUCCAGAUCAUUGUAUAUGUCCAAGUCCUUCCCCAGCUUUCUUCAAAGGCUCCCCACUGACCCUAUGGCAAAGAGUGCAAAGCCUUAAACAGUGAUCCCUUCUUCCUCCACCUCCCCCAAAUAUUGCUUCUAUCAGCACUACAGUUCAGGAGUGGAAAGUCUCCUUGGUUGGCCCACCAUCCUUCCAAAACUCCCUCACCACUCCUCUGUGUUUCCCACAGCUACUUCCCUAAAUCACCCAGCUCAGAGAGAACUGUCCACAUGCUUGCCAUUCAUCCUCUUGCUGUGUGGAGGGUUUGUCUGAUUCUAAGAGGCAGAAGGCUUUUCUCCUGCUCCUACCUUGCUGGCCAUGUGUGCUGCUCGGAAAAUGGUGCCUCAACACUGCUGUAGCCAAUGAGGUGAGCUCCGGCAUGUGCACCAGGAAGCUGUUUCCAGAUGAUCCUGCAUAUCGGUGG
rnacentral:lncRNA from 1 species